rnacentral:rRNA from 1 species
CCUACGGGGCGCUGCAGUGGGGAAUAUUGGACAAUGGGCGAAAGCCUGAUCCAGCCAUGCCGCGUGUGUGAAGAAGGCCUUCGGGUUGUAAAGCACUUUCAGUGGGGAAGAAAGCCUUGGGGCUAAUACCCUCGAGGAAGGACAUCACCCACAGAAGAAGCACCGGCUAACUCCGUGCCAGCAGCCGCGGUAAUACGGAGGGUGCGAGCGUUAAUCGGAAUUACUGGGCGUAAAGCGCGCGUAGGCGGUCUGAUAAGCCGGUUGUGAAAGCCCCGGGCUCAACCUGGGAACGGCAUCCGGAACCGUCAGGCUAGAGUGCAGGAGAGGAAGGUAGAAUUCCCGGUGUAGCGGUGAAAUGCGUAGAGAUCGGGAGGAAUACCAGUGGCGAAGGCGGCCUUCUGGACUGACACUGACGCUGAGGUGCGAAAGCGUGGGUAGCAAACAGGAUUAGAUACCCGAGUAGUC